rnacentral:rRNA from 1 species
GAUGAACGCUGGCGGCGUGCCUAAUACAUGCAAGUAGAACGCUGAAGGAGGAGCUUGCUCUUCUGGAUGAGUUGCGAACGGGUGAGUAACGCGUAGGUAACCUGCCUGGUAGCGGGGGAUAACUAUUGGAAACGAUAGCUAAUACCGCAUGACAACAGUUCUUGCAUGAUAACUGUUUAAAAGGGGCAACUGCUCCACUACCAGAUGGACCUGCGUUGUAUUAGCUAGUUGGUGAGGUAACGGCUCACCAAGGCGACGAUACAUAGCCGACCUGAGAGGGGGGUCGGCCACACUGGGACGGGGACACGGCCCAGACUCCUACGGGAGGCAGCAGGAGGGAAUCUUCGGCAAUGGACGGAAGGCUGACCGAGCAACGCCGCGUGAGUGGAGAAGGGUUUCGGAUCGUAAAGCUCUGUUGUAAGAGAAGAACGAGUGUGAGAGUGGAAAGUUCACACUGUGACGGUAUCUUACCAGAAAGGGACGGCUAACUACGUG